UACGUAGGGUGCGAGCGUUAAUCGGAAUUACUGGGCGUAAAGCGUGCGCAGGCGGUUAUGUAAGACAGUUGUGAAAUCCCCGGGCUCAACCUGGGAAUUGCAUCUGUGACUGCAUAGCUAGAGUACGGUAGAGGGGGAUGGAAUUCCGCGUGUAGCAGUGAAAUGCGUAGAUAUGCGGAGGAACACCGAUGGCGAAGGCAAUCCCCCUGGACCUGUACUGACGCUCAUGCACGAAAGCGUGGGGAGCAAACAGG
rnacentral:rRNA from 1 species